rnacentral:rRNA from 1 species
CUGACACUGACACUGAGGUGCGAAAGCGUGGGUAGCAAACAGGAUUAGAUACCCUGGUAGUCCACGCCGUAAACGAUGUCGACCAGCCGUUGGGUGCCUAGCGCACUUUGUGGCGAAGUUAACGCGAUAAGUCGACCGCCUGGGGAGUACGGCCGCAAGGUUAAAACUCAAAUGAAUUGACGGGGGCCCGCACAAGCGGUGGAGCAUGUGGUUUAAUUCGAUGCAACGCGAAGAACCUUACCUACUCUUGACAUCCUGCGAACUUGUGAGAGAUCACUUGGUGCCUUCGGGAGCGCAGAGACAGGUGCUGCAUGGCUGUCGUCAGCUCGUGUUGUGAAAUGUUGGGUUAAGUCCCAUAACGAGCGCAACCCUUGUCCUUAUUUGCCAGCGGGUAAUGCCGGGAACUCUAAGGAGACUGCCGGUGACAAACCGGAGGAAGGUGGGGACGACGUCAAGUCAUCAUGGCCCUUACGAGUAGGGCUACACACGUGCUACAAUGGCCGGUACAAAGGGUUGCGAGCUCGCGAGAGUCAGCUAAUCCCGAAAAGCCGGUCUCAGUCCGGAUCGGAGUCUGCAACUCGACUCCGUGAAGUCGGAAUCGCUAGUAAUCGUGAAUCAGAAUGUCACGGUGAAUACGUUCCCGGGCCUUGUACACACCGCCCGU